GGAACGCGUCGCAGCGUUGUGACGUCACAUCGUGGGAUCGUGAUAAGAGUCCUAUUCCCAUGCUGUGUAUGAAAUGAAAGAAGUACAUAGACAUGUACCGACAAACAUAGGAUUUUCUGGAUGGACCUGAAAUCAUGUCUCAAUAAUGGUUGGAGGUCAACAAAAUGGACAUUGGCAUGUGAAUUUCGCAUCUGACUUCCACAUACAGUGUGGGUAUAAGUGGCAGCAGGUGCACCACAUUAAUUCAUGGUUUUGCUGAGGAGCCGAGCCGGUGACCCGGCAGGUCAGCGAUGGUACAGUAGCUGUGGCGAUGGGAUGUGAUAUCUUCGCUCCCUCCAUCAGGGAAAGAGGGUUUCAUAUGUAACCGAGAUGUUCCUUUCAUUUGGUUACUCUCAACAUCACAUUGCUGAUGACCGACAAAUUGGGAUCCCUACCAACAGGUGCUGCCCCUCCAGUGCCCCUGUGUAGGCAUCCUGAUACUUCCUAUCGACUUCACUCGUGGCGGGAAUGUUGCUGGAGACCCAAGGUAGUGCAUUUUGGUGCAAUAUGGACACGCGACAUGUUCAGAAUGAAUAAACUUUAAUAAACUACAGAACAGCACAACAGUCCUCCUAAUAAUCACCAACCAUUUGA